GAUGAACGCUGGCGGCGUGCCUAAUACAUGCAAGUCGAGCGAACAGACGAGGAGCUUGCUCCUCUGACGUUAGCGGCGGACGGGUGAGUAACACGUGGAUAACCUACCUAUAAGACUGGGAUAACUUCGGGAAACCGGAGCUAAUACCGGAUAAUAUAUUGAACCGCAUGGUUCAAUAGUGAAAGACGGUUUUGCUGUCACUUAUAGAUGGAUCCGCGCCGCAUUAGCUAGUUGGUAAGGUAACGGCUUACCAAGGCAACGAUGCGUAGCCGACCUGAGAGGGUGAUCGGCCACACUGGAACUGAGACACGGUCCAGACUCCUACGGGAGGCAGCAGUAGGGAAUCUUCCGCAAUGGGCGAAAGCCUGACGGAGCAACGUCGCGUGAGUGAUGAAGGUCUUCGGAUCGUAAAACUCUGUUAUUAGGGAAGAACAAAUGUGUAAGUAACUAUGCACGUCUUGACGGUACCUAAUCAGAAAGCCACGGCUAACUACGU
rnacentral:rRNA from 1 species